rnacentral:rRNA from 1 species
CUACGCUGCGAUAAGCCGUGGGGAGCUGCGAAGAAGCUUUGAUCCACGGAUUUCCGAAUGGGGAAACCCACCUUCGAUAGCCGGAACUCCAAGACCUUGUGUUUUGGGGUUCGACCAGAAAUGGAAGAAAUCGGACCGCGAGGUUUUGGAUUUCCGGUUAUCAAGAGAAGGUAUGAGACUUCCGAAUAAAAUAGGAGGUUUUAAGCAAACCCAGGGAACUGAAACAUCUAAGUACCUGGAGGAAAGGACAUCAAUCGAGACUCCGUUAGUAGUGGCGAGCGAACGCGGACCAGGCCAGUGAUACAUCAAAGACAAUCGGAACCUGUCAGGAAAGCAGGGCCUCAGAGGGUGAUAGCCCCGUACGAGUAAUGCGAUGAUGUAUCCACGAGUAAGGCGGGACACGUGUAAUCCUGUCUGAACACGGGGGGACCACCCUCCAAGCCUAAGUACUCCUCAGCGACCGAUAGU